rnacentral:lncRNA from 1 species
CAAUACGAAAGGGGGGUUCGGUUCCAAUAGAACCCAAUAAUUUUUACGUAAAUCCUGUAUUUGUAUUAGAAAAUUCAAUAAUUGUAUAUGAAUGGUGUAGUGGUAGAGACGAGAGUGCGAAACCUUUCAGCAUUUGCAUCGUGUGUUCGAAUCCAACUAGCAGAUUUUUAAAAAUAAAAAAAUAAACAAAGAACCUAAGAUUAAUUAACAAUUAAAAAAGGUAGCCCUC